UUGAAUUUCUGGAUUGUAACUUGUUUUGUGAAUUUUGAUAGUUAUAACAUGUAUUUGAGCUUUAAAUUGAACUAUGCAAUUCAUCGGGUUGGGAUCUUGGACAACAUGGAAUACAUGUAUUUGAGUUAUUAUUGAAUGAUUUAUUGUAUUACUUCGGUAAGGUUUAUUGUUUUUGUACGUCAACUUACUAAGCUUCAAUGAGCUUGUGUUAAUUUCUAUUCUUGAAUAUACUUUGAAGGUUGGACGAUCGGAU
rnacentral:lncRNA from 1 species